rfam:Shewanella putrefaciens CN-32, complete genome.
GGUCGCUUAGCUCAGCUGGGAGAGCACCUCCCUUACAAGGAGGGGGUCACUGGUUCGAGCCCAGUAGCGACCA